UAUAACUGUAUGACCAGGAUACAUUUGCAGGAUCCACAGAUGUCUUUGAAGCAAUGGCAUCUAUACAUCUACCGACAACCUUCAGCUCCUCAGACCAAGGUAAUAGUGCCUUCGUGCUCAGGAGAACAAUGAUCGAAUCUUUCCAGCUCCGGAGGAUGCUGGAGUUUAUGAAGACCUCGAUUUUGAAUAUCAAGUUCCCUUUGUCCAUAUCUUCAGUCAUUCCAAGGAUCCAGUAGAUUGGAAAGAGACAGCCCAACAGCAAUCAGACGUGAAGCAUAAAUGUUGAUGAUGUUACUACUCUUGAUGGCAUGACAAAGAGACCCCGACAGUUGAACAUUCUAUGUCUGAAGAACUACGUGCUCCAGGAUGUAACACAUAUCUACUUCCACCACCCUUGGCCGUUAUUUGUAGAAGCAAAUAUAAAUGCUUAGUGUUGACUUCAGCAAAAAUUGCUGAAAAUACUAGCACACUGACCUUGUGUAAGUAGAAUCUGACUUCACCGAUAUGCACAAUGACAUCUGUUGCAAGGUCAGAGACCACCAAUCUGCACGCAUCAACAAACUUGUGAGCAUAUCAUAUUACGAAACAGAAUACAGAAACACUCUUUGGUAGCCA